rnacentral:rRNA from 1 species
ACAGAGGUCCCGAGCGUUGUUCGGAUUCACUGGGCGUAAAGGGUGCGUAGGUGGUUGGGUAAGUUUGAGGUGAAAGCUCCGAGCCUAACUCGGAAAAUGCCUUGAAGACUAUCUGACUAGAGGAUUGGAGGGGAGAUUGGAAUUCUCGGUGUAGCAGUGAAAUGCGUAGAUAUCGAGAGGAACACCAGUGGCGAAGGCGAAUCUCUGGACAAUUCCUGACACUGAGGCACGAAAGCCAAGGGAGCAAACGGGAUUAGAUACCCCGGUAGUCUUGGCUGUAAACGGUGCGCACUUGCUGUGAGCGGAUUCGACCCCGCUCGUGGCGUAGUUAACACGAUAAGUGCGCCGCCUGGGAAGUACGGUCGCAAGAUUA